rnacentral:lncRNA from 1 species
UUACCUUCAUUGCCUUCCUUGCCAUUGUGAGGCUUUGCGUCAUGUAUGUGGGGCCUACACUGAUCGAUCGGUUUAUUGAUUAUACAUCUGGGAAGAGGACCUCAAGUUAUGAAGGAUACUACCUUGUAGUUGUUCUCUUGAUAGCCAAGUUUGUGGAAGUUCUGAGCUCACAUCAGUUCAAUUUUAACUCCCAGAAACUUGGGAUGAUGAUACGCUCCACACUGAUUACUUCAUUGUACAAAAAGGGUUUAAGACUUUCAUGCUCAGCAAGACAAGCUCAUGGUGUUGGACAGAUUGUAAACUACAUGGCCGUGGAUGCGCAACAGCUUUCUGAUAUGAUGCCACAACUGCAUGCCUUAUGGUUGAUGCCAUUGCAAGUUACCGUUGCCUUAAGUAUCCUCUAUACUUACCUAGGCAUUUCGACCAUUGUAGCGUUACUUGGACUUGUAUCCAUUAUGGUGUUUGUGGCGUUUGGGACUCGAAGGAAUAACCGGUUCCAGUUCAAUAUCAUGAAAGAUAGGGACUCCAGAAUGAAAGCAACAAAUGAGAUGCUUAACUACAUGAGGGUAAUCAAAUUUCAGGCUUGGGAAGAACAUUUCAACAAAAGAAUUCAAUCUUUCCGUGAAUCAGAGUUUGCAUGGCUAACCAAAUUCUUGUACUCGUUUUGUGCAAAUAUUAUUGUGCUCUGGAGCACACCGGUAUUUAUAGCUACAUUGACAUUUGGAAGUGCGAUCCUGCUGGGCGUUCCGCUUGAUGCAGGAACAGUCUUCACUGCUAUCUCACUUUUUAAAAUGUUGCAAGAACCUAUUAGGACCUUCCCACAGUCUAUGAUUUCACUCUCACAGGCAAUGAUAUCACUGGAUAGGUUGGAUAGGUACAUGAUGAGUAAGGAACUGAUGGAUGAUUCAGUGGAGAGGGUAGAAGGUUGUGGAAGUGAGAUUGCUGUGGAGGUGGAAGAUGGGGCUUUUAAUUGGGAUGAAGAAAGCAGGGAAGAAGUGGUAAACGAUUUGAAUUUUAUGAUCAGAAAAGGCGAGCUUGCAGCGAUUGUUGGGACUGUAGGAUCAGGGAAGUCUUCACUUCUGGCAUCAAUUCUUGGCGAGAUGGAUAAAAUAUCAGGAAAGGUACAUAUUAAAUAUUUUUCAGGGCCUUAUCCCUCUAUCAAAUUGAUUACUUCACAUUUGUCACUGGAAAAGUACUCUUUUUUUUUUUUUAUUGUGCCUUGUGUAUUUAUUUGUCAUUGAAGUAUUGCAACUUUCUGUUCAUUGUAUGGUUCGUAAUCUGAUUGUUGCCUUACACGUAAUUUGUCCAAGUAAUAGACUAUUCGGGGAUUUCACAGAUCCUCUUCUUCUCCGCGUCACAGAUUCUCAUUUUGCUGAUACGUUUUAAAUGUCGUAUUGUGUUAUUCAGCAGACAGCAUGAGCACAAAGUGUUUAUCUUUUGGUAUACAUGAGCACAGUGAUUUGUUUUCUCUGGAUGUCUUGCUUGUGCAUCAGAGCUUGGUAACUGGAAGAUUUUGCCUUUUGCUACUUGUGGCCGACAGACCUAAGUUUGCCCAGUUGUUGGCUCAAGUAAUUGGACACAUUAUGUCUAUUAUUGAAAACCACAUAUAUUGUAAUUUUUCUCUGAAAAAUUGGUUCAAUUUCAACUUCCAAAGAUGUGGGUCCAAAUGAUUCAACCAUCAAACUCUAACCAGAUUACCUCUGAAACAUCGACCAAAUCUUCACAUAAACUUCUUGGGUUGGGGUGCAUAUUUGUCCUCGUUAUUCGACUCUUUGGGGGUUAUGAUUUACAUAUUGAAUGAUGGGCUAUUUGUCAUUUUCCAAACCCUAAAGUUCUUAUCCUUGGGAACACCUUUUAGUAUCAUUGGUCAACUACUUCUUAAUAGGGGCAGCCCAUUAUAUUCUUCUUUGUUGGCCACAAGUUGGUUGUGAGGAAAAGCUUCCUGAGUGUCAUGCAGGAAAGCUUCUUAUUUUAUAAUGCUAACACAUUUCAUUACAAGCUUACCAACUAUUUGUUGCUGCAGCUCAGGGUUUGUGGUACCACAGCUUUUGUUGCACAAACCUCAUGGAUUCAGAAUGGGACAAUUGAAGAAAAUAUCCUUUUUGGUCUGUCAAUGAACCACGAGAGAUAUAAGGAAGUUCUUAGGGUUUGUUGUUUGGAGAAGGACUUGGAUAUGAUGGAGUUUGGAGAUCAGACUGAAAUUGGAGAGCGUGGCAUCAAUCUAAGUGGUGGGCAAAAGCAGCGAAUUCAACUUGCCAGGGCUGUUUACCAAGAUUGUGAUAUCUAUCUACUUGAUGAUGUGUUUAGUGCAGUUGAUGCUCAAACUGGUUCUGAAAUAUUCAAGGUGAUAAGAGUUUUGAAAUGAUUUUCAAAAUGGUUGUGAUAUCUAUAUCUUGAAAGUAUUUAAUGCUGUUUUAAGAUGUCCUAUUUCUCCAAUUAUUUGCAAAAUUAGAUGUGACCUGACGUUUGUAGUAGCUACAGUCACUGACAUAAUUUUCUCAGUUUGGUCCUCUUCUUCUCCAUUUUCUUGUUAUUACUGUUAAAUGAGAACCAGAACACAAGCCUGCUACUUGCGAAUGCCCAUUUGUUAAUGAUGUAUGAUGCGUUUGUUGACAUUUUAUGUUGAUCCCUUGGCUUCAUUCCUUGUAGGCUCCAAUUAACAUGAUUAUUAAGCUUUGAGUGACAUGCUUGUUAGUUGAUACAUAUUGUUCUGCAUUGACAUUGUGAUUCGUCUUUUUAGUUUCAAUUGAAGUUGUGAUAUUCCAGUAGCCCUAGUUGUUAGUUUAUCAGUUAUUAAAUGCUGUUUGACACUUUCCAGUCUCUCUUGCAGGAAUGUGUUAGAGGAACCCUUAGAGAGAAGACCAUUUUGCUUGUUACACACCAAGUUGACUUCUUACACAAUGUUGAUCUGAUCCUAGUAUGUCCUAUGCUCAUUUAUCCUCCUCCUUUCCUAGGUUUUAUCCUCCUCCUCUGGCAUCAUAGACUUGACCUCUUAAUAUUGAAACCAGGUUAUGCGAGAUGGCAUGAUUGCUGAAUCUGGAAAUUACAAUGAUCUACUUGAAUCUGGGAAGGAUUUCAAAUCUUUGGUGGCUGCGCAUGAGUCAUCUAUGGAACUUGUUGAGGCAGAAAGCUCCAAGCGCAGGAAAACUUCAGUUGAUCAACCAACAUCUCCUCAAGCAUCUUUUAGUCCUACACAAGAAAACGAUGACAUGAAAUCUCAAGAACAGACCCAAUCUGAUCGGGGAAAUUCUAAACUUAUCAAGGAAGAGGAGAGAGAAACUGGGAAAGUCAGCUUACAUGUUUAUAAACUAUACUGCACUGAAUCUUUAGGGUGGUGGGGUGUGAUUGUGGUGUUGCUGAUUUCUGUGUUGUGGCAAGGGUCAUUAAUGGCGGGUGACUACUGGUUGGCUUAUGAAACAUCAGGAAAGCGUGCUAUGUCAUUCAAUCCUUCUGUUUUUAUUGGGAUAUAUGCUAUUAUAGCAGCUGGUUCCUUUGUGCUGAUAUUGAUAAGAAUUUUUUUACUUACAUUCAUGGGGCUUAAGACAUCCCAAAUAUUCUUCAAAGGAAUUCUUCACAGCAUAUUGCACGCUCCAAUGUCAUUUUUUGAUACUACACCUUCUGGAAGAAUUUUAAGCCGGGUAACGUUUUCUACACUUUCGGGUUGGGUUGUCCAUUUUGGUGCCAAGCUGGAAAAAAUAAAAUCAUGUCCAUAUGUACAUUUAGCUACAUUAGAUUACAUGGGGAAAAAACUAGAUUACAUAAAAGAAAUGUUCAAAGUAACUGAACAUGUUUCAAUUACUGGAUUCAUUGAUAUGUUGUUUCAUAAAAUUUUGCAGGCGUCAAAUGAUCAGACUAAUAUUGAUGUAGUUGUCCCACUUUUUACAAACUAUUUCAUUUCCAUGUACAUCACACUAUUUGGGAUCAUCAUCAUCAUAUGUCAAAAUGCUUGGCCAACCGUCUUACUAUUGAUUCCACUUGGCUGGCUGAAUUACUGGUUUCGGGUAUGUGCAUCAUUUAUGGAGCUUAAAGGUUAAAUUGUUUCAGUGUAACUAAGACUUUUAACCAUUCUUUGGCAAGAGAUAGAUAAUCAGUGCUAAGACUAAGUUAUUCCUCAUUUGGGUUGCAGGGGUACUAUCUUGCAACAUCACGUGAAUUGACUCGGCUAGACUCUAUUACAAAAGCACCAGUUAUCCAUCACUUCUCGGAAAGUAUAUCUGGAAUUACGACAAUCCGUUGUUUCAGGAAGCAGGAAAGGUUUUGCCAGGAAAACGUUAACCGUGUGAAUUCGAACCUGCGUAUGGACUUCCACAACUACGGGUGCAAUGAAUGGUUGGGUUUUCGUUUGGAACUCAUGGGGAGCUUCAUCCUUUGCAUUUCUGCAUUGUUUAUGAUCAUGUUGCCGAGCACUAUCCUCAAGCCAGGUGUAUAAUCUACUUAAAUCCUUAUUAAUGACAAAGUACUAGUUUUUUUUGGUUAUAUUGAUAUAAAGGCAUGACUCCCGAUUUAUCAGUUGGUGGUAUUAUUACCUGGGAAAAUAAGGUUGUUAAUAGGUUAAAACUGAAGACAUAGUUUUCAUCUUUCUUGACGAAAUAGACUCGUAACUGGUCAACCGGAUUAUUAAACCUUUGAAAUAUCAUAAUAUCUAGUAUAAUCAACCUCUUUUUCUUUUCUGUCAUUUUAAUGGGGUUUCUCAAGUUUAUUAGUAAAGGAAUUUUCAAAGAUCAGGUUACAGAAUUAAUUACUUCAUAUAAUUCUCAGUUGAUUCCUGUUAUCAUUUGCUGCCUACAAAGUUUAUAAAUGGAUGAUACAACUGGAAAAAAUAAUGUCCCUUCCAGUCAUCAUUCUCCUUUGUCCUUGCUACUGCAAUUAGCUUUUGCAAUAGAGAUGUUACUGAUCUACACUUCGCUGCUCAGAGAACGUGGGGUUAUCUCUCUCUUAUGGAUUGUCCCUCAACAGUGUGCUUUUCUGGGCAAUAUAUGUCAGUUGUUCUUUGGAAAAUAAAAUGGUUUCAGUUGAGAGGAUAAAACAAUUUACAAAUAUACCAUCAGAAGCAGACUGGAAGAAAGAAGAUUGCCUUCCUUCUCCCGAGUGGCCAAACAAGGGCAAUGUUGAGCUCAUAGACUUACAGGUAGCUCAAUCUGCAUUUCUUCAAGUUUGUAUGAUGAAUAGCUGCUUCAUUAAUAUGGUAUUCUGUAAGUUUCCAGAGAUUCAUUUGUAUGUAUUCUGAACAGGUAAGAUAUCGUCCCAAUACCCCUCUGGUUAUCAAAGGAAUAACACUCAGCAUAAAAGGGGGUGAGAAGAUUGGUGUUGUUGGUCGAACUGGGGGUGGAAAAUCAACUUUGAUCCAGGUUUUCUUUAGGUUGGUGGAGCCUUCGGGAGGAAGAAUCAUUAUUGAUGGCAUUGACAUUAGCACUCUUGGGCUGCAUGAUCUUAGGUCUCGAUUUGGAAUCAUCCCUCAAGAACCUGUUCUUUUUGAAGGAACUGUGAGAAGCAACAUUGAUCCAAUUGGACAGUAUUCUGAUGAAGAGAUAUGGAAGGUAAAAAGAACUAUUACUGUUAGUAGUUGAGUUUGGACCUCAAGCUAAAUAGAUUUCGCCCAGCAUGUGCCAUGGUUUUAACAUUUUCUAGUAUGCAGCAUCUGUCGACUGUGGUUACUUCACUUUUCUAAUGUGUGAAUUUGUGAUUCUGUUCCAUACAUAGAAACCAUGCUUGCCGAGAUAGGUUGUAGCGACUUAGUCCUUCUGUUUUUCUAUAGUUAAUACUCACGGAUCCGUGAACUUAUGAACCACAGAGCCUUGAGCGCUGCCAGCUUAAGGAGGUAGUAGCUGCAAAGCCCGAUAAGCUGGACUCUUUAGGUACUGUAGCAUAAAUCUGAUCAGUUGCUUCUAUUUUGUUCUCAGUUGCUGUUAUUAGUUAUCAAUGCUACAGCUGAAAGAGUACGAAUUUUCACUGGUUAAUGUUUUUAGUUGUUGAUAAUGGAGAAAAUUGGAGUGUCGGGCAGAGACAGCUUCUCUGUUUGGGACGUGUAAUGCUAAAACGCAGCAAACUUUUAUUUAUGGAUGAGGCGACUGCCUCAGUUGAUUCACAAACAGAUGGCGUGAUCCAGAAGAUCAUCAGGGAGGACUUCUCUUCCCGUACAAUUGUAAGCAUUGCCCAUAGAAUUCCAACAGUUAUGGACUGUGACAGAGUUCUUGUAAUUGAUGCAGGUUUGUGCCUCUCCCACCCCUUAGUUCAGCCAUGGUUCAUCACAUGCUUCAUCUUUGUUUUCAUUUAUUUUUCGUUUCUUAUUUCUUGAGCAAAUAAUUCCUCUGGGAACAAGUAGACUGUCAAAAUGUCGCCAUUUUGGCCUGCCUUUGGUCUGUUCCCGAUUGCAUGCUGCAGAUUACCUAAAUUAAUCAUGUCCUUUUUUCCUAUGAUUCUGUUGCGCUCCGACUUUGCCUGAUCUGGGUUUAUUCUUCAUGAUUGCACCUAAUGGGGAUUUCCUGCUUUCACCAAAGCUCGGUGAAAUGAUUCUUAUUGUUUUUCUUUUUGGGCAUUGAACAGGUAAAGCAAAAGAAUUUGACAAGCCAUCGAGUUUGCUGGAGAAGCCUUCUCUCUUUGGAGCAUUGGUUGAGGAGUAUGCCAACCGAUCUUCUGAACUCUAGCUCUGAUCCUAGCAUUCUUGGAAUGGGCUGAAGAUUGAUUCUUGUUGGUUGAAUUAUAUUUUCCACAACUUCGGCUUGUUUGACACCUGAGUUUUUUGAAAAUUUAUCUAAAAUUUUACUGUAGAUCACCGUAAAAGUUGUAAAAAAACUUUUGGAAGAUGAAAUUUUUUUUUUUUUCAUUUUCUUUCUUUCUUUUUUCUUUUUUUUUUCUUUUCUUUCCUCCCUUCCAUUUCCCCCUCCCCUGUACCCUUUCCCAAAAUUGCUGAAGCAGCAAAAGAAAACUUUUUUUUUUUUUGCAUUUUUUUCCAUUACCCUCCUCUCCCUCUCCCUCUUCCCCUCUUCUCCCUCUUUUGGCUUGCCGCUAUACUAAAAUCUUGUGAACAAGACUACAUAAACUUGUUUGUUUGUGGUCCUCACUUCGACAAUUAUGCAUUCGUAUGGUUCAAACCUUGGGAAGGAAAACCAGACAAAUCAAUUGCAAUCCUAUAUGUAAGCAGAUUAUUAAUCACAAUUCACAAGCACUAGAAAUCAGUAUGUGAAAACAAUCGCAGAUUGGCGGCGCUCGAUGUUGACUACAUAUUCGUUCACUUGUAGACUUUCUGGUAGACUUGUAGAAUCCAUUGAGCAGGACGCAUAUUCGUUCACUUGAUGUUAAGUCUAUGGAACAGAUGAAUAAGUGUUUUAGUGAAGCAUUUUCAAUAGAUUCCAGCCUGUUGACUACAUGACCAAAAGCAGGACAGAUUGGUAGGAAGGACUUGAAAGUGAAGACUUCCAAGUAUUUACCUCUCUGCAAAGGGGGCACUUUUCCUUGGGACUAGCUGCCUUCAAUCCAUCCACUAUGGUCACUGAUCCUGCCUUGCAAGCACGCAUGUAGCAGAAUAUAUGACCGCAAGUCAAAGACACUGGAUCAAAAGCUGUAUCCUGUUGGAGGAGAGCAGCUAAUAAAAAGCUCAACAUUAUGAAAAGAGCAGCAGCUAAUCUGAUAUGAUGAAUUUUACAAUAUUGAUAGGACUUAAGGUAGAGUUUCUUCAUAAGAAUUAUCAGCAAGAAUCAAAUGUCAAUAAGAAAAAGCAUAACGAUAGUUACUCGUGUUAAUGAAAUAGCUGGCACGCUUAUAUGAGCUAAUAAAGAAACUAACCAAGCACAUCGAACAAGUCAAGUCCAGUUCAAGCUUGACUGAAUCACAAGAAAGAGAAGGCUUUUCAUCUUUGAAUAUGAGGGAACAGCCGUUGAACAAUGCAGGAAGCAUUCCUUGUAUUGGCCUUGAGCUCACAUACCCAUGGUGAUUGGAGAAUCUCCAGGUUCCGUUCCUACGGUGCGCUUGAGACUUGAAUGCUUGGCCUUGCUUGGAGCAGUGUAUCUGUAGAAAAAAUCAACAACCUGUAAGGCAAUAAUUUACAAAAAACAAAUCAAAAUACAAAAUUAAAUUACAAAUAAUUUGCAGUAGUCAAUCUAAAAAAUCAUUACUAAAUUAUUAAUUUGAUAAAAUAAUGUAUUUAGAAAUAUUUAUAUUUUAUAAUUAUUAAUAUACUAUUCGAGCCCGAAUCAGAGUUCUAUAUUUCGUAUCCGAUCUGUUUUUUUUUUUUUUUUUUAUUAAAGUAAACGGGCACGAGUCCUGAUUCGAGUAUCGAAAUUAUUUUUUAAUCCAAAUUCGAAAAAAAAUUAUUGAAUCCAGAUUGGAUCCAAGUUGGGUUAUAAAUAAAUAAAAAAGGAUGAUUGAAAUUUUGACACUUCUCAAACGUAGAUUGAUCCAAGCUGGGCUUUGCGAGCUGGCCAAUUCGCAUUGAGGUUGGAGGUGCAUUUUUAUUUUUCCCUUUUUUUUACCGAGAUUACGAGAAUUGAAGAGCUAAAUAUAUUUACUUUGAGGAUCAAUCACAGAGCGUUUGGUAGUGGAAUCGAGAAUUUGAGGCAACAUGAGAGAGUUAAUAAUAGACGCUUGAAAUAAGCAAGGAUGGAUGGGAUGGUUGCACAUUUUUCAAGAUCAAAAGAUUAACACGAAUAAGAGCAAUUCAACAAAAAUAUCAUCAUUUCAUAGACGCCUUUGAUAUUUUGUCACGUAGCUUGUAUUGACGCUUUGAUAUUACUUACAAUCAUCAAGGGGAUUAUGAAGUGAAAUAAUGCUAACACGCAUAGGGCUUUAAGGUAGUUUACUCUUAAAUGUUGGUUUUAUAUCACGUUAAACUAGUUUUAUUCAGAAUUACUAAUUACGUAGGAGUGAAGUUUCUCCAUCUCCAACUCUCUCCUAUUCUAUUGCAAGAUAUGCGUAUUUUUUCUCGUACAAUUUCUUGAACAUUUGAAUUUAUGUUUGUUUGCACACCUAAUAUUUUGUGAAAAAUUAUUUUUCUUGCAAUAUAGAUAUAUUGUUUUAAUCACCUUUUUAUAUUUCAACCAUCUUUCACAUACAUUAUAUUACAAAAAACUGAUAUAAUAUUUUUUUCGAUAAAAUUUUCAAAUAAUCUUCUGUUCAAAGAUGCUGAAUAAAAUUUUCAAAUAAUCUUCUAUUCAAAGACGCUUAAUCCUCAAAUUUUAAGGUACAAAUUGAUCCAUACAGUUUAAAAAAACAAAGCUUUUUAAAAUUUUUCUAAAUCCUCAAAUACACAAAAGUUUUUUCACAAAAUUUUUUUAAAAAAUACGCCUUCCAAAUGACCCCAAAAUUUGGGUCAAGUUUGCGUCUCAUCCAACACAAGAUUCAUGCGCGGAAAACUGAAAAGUAAACAACGUACGUCUUGGAAAAUCAAUCACGAGAUUCGUAUCUAUAGAAAGUAAACAAAGCAGGUUUUGGAAAAUUGAUCAAGAGAUGCAUUUGGUGAUGGGUUACCAUCAGGACAUCUUCUCAUUAACAGCAACAAAAUUACUUUUUUCAACUCCAGUAAUGGCUUUUGUUGAAAUAAUUAACCCUAAUCCCAAAUUAACCUCUAAAAACCGGCAACUCUUGAAGGUAAUCCAGGGGCUUAACUACCCAACCCAAACCCCUCCCAGAACCGAUGUGAAAAUGGAGAGUGAAAAUGGAUGCUGAAUUAGUGUACCUGUGUCUACUGUCUCCUAUGUAAAACCGCUCGUUUGAGAUAAUCAACAGUUGGUAUAUAAUUACUUUAAUUUGAAGUUAAACCGAUACUCAACUAUAGUAUUAAUUGAUACGCAGCACAAGGUAUCUCAGGUUUACCCUAAUUACUAUGUGACAAUGUUACAUUUUGACACAAAAAAAAAAAAAAAAAAAACUAUGUGACAAUGUUUGAAGCACCAAGUACAGGAAUGUCAAUGGGUUGGAUUCGGAUGAGAAUUGAAAUUUUUGGAUCCAAUCCCAUCUUUAUGUGGUAGACCUAUAUUCGAUUCGUAUAUUCGACGGGUCUUGACUUUAGAGGUUUAGAAUCGGAUCCGACGAGUCUCAAAUUGGAUUUGAGUCUACUCGAAAAAAAAAAAGAUCCAAAAUAAAUCAAAAACCAAUCACAAAUCAAAUCUCCCAACUUAAAUAAAUCAAAUUACAAAAUUAAAUUACAAAUAACUCUCAAUAGUCAAUUUAAAACUAACCACAAAUCAAUCUACAGAAUCAUUACUAAAUUAUUAAUUUGGUAAAAGAAUGUAUUUAGAAAUAUUUAUAUUUUAUAAUUAUUAAUAUAUUGUUCGAGUUCGAGUUAGAAUCCUAUAUUCCGUAUUUGAUCUGUUUUUUUGUUAACGUAAACAGGUACGAGUUCGGGUUCAAGUAUCGAAAUUAUUUUUCAAUAUAAAUCCGAAAUAAAUUAUCGAGUCCGGAUUGAAUCCGAAACUAAACCCGACCCAUUGACACCCCUGACCAAGUGGUACCUGCCAACACACGCUGUACUCUCUGCAAGUAUUAUAAAACCCUCUCCAUGGUUGGAUGUUGAAAAAUCCAUGAAAGCGUUUAAAAAUCAACGAUGUGAUAAUAAUCAUAAAAAUUUCUUUGCUUUUAGUUUCAGUAAUAUAGGGGGUGGUGCCAAUGGGAGAGUCGUAGUUGGCGAAGAAGACCACAAAAGUUAGAAAAGCAGUCAAUUGAUUCCUGGAUUCUACUACAGCCGGUAACACUGACGAAAGGAAAGUAAUGGACAGGAGAAAACGAAAGUAGAAAAGUAAAAGCCGGACAUUAAACGAAAAGGAGCAAACGUCUGCGCUGUUUGGAGCCUUCAUGCAUGGGCGGGGGAGUAGCAUUCGGUGACCCCCCGAGUCCUCGUUUUGCACGCAUAGGAGUUAUGAACAAGCCAACAAUCUACUGUACGAUACUACCACAAAUUCCACAAGAUCAUAACAGUAGUAGUAGUAGACAUACCGUUGAGUCUUUCUUACAUGGAAAAUUCGCAUCAUAAUAGUAGUGUAUUAUCGACCCUGUAUGUUCUUGAGUUCUUCUUUUUUAUUUUUAUUUUUUGUAGUGUCCUUUUUAAAUUGUUUCCGAAUGGCAAAUUGUGUAGUAUUUGGGAAGAGUUUCUCUCGGCAAUGGUAAGUUACAAUUGUUAAAACAAUUUAUGGUGGUAGACUUUUCAUUGAAUAGUUGUGAUAGAAAAUAAGGCCUUGUUUAGAUAGCAAUUUUUCAAAUGCUACGUUUUUCUGAACACAUUUUUCAAUCAUCUUUUUACCUCACUUAUAUCAAAUCGCUAUAGUAUUUUUUCUACAAAAAAAAUUUAGAAAAAUACAAGCCAAGCAAAGCCUACAACUUGGUGAGGACACUUGUAAUGCAUUCUCGGAUGUGCAUAGCAGGGGAUGCAAAGAGAAAAAUUUGUCAAAUGGGUCCCUAACAUUUACACAAAAAUUUUUUAGUCCCUAACAUUUAAAAGCAGUUAGAAUAGUUUUUAACAUAUAAAUUAUUAUCCAUUUCGGUCCUAAUGCUCAUAUUUGCUCAUUUUUCCGACUAAAAAUAACACGCCUCUCUCACGUGAGCAUAUUUUCAAUGGCAAAACUAAAAAACAUUAUUGUUUUCAGUGUAAAUGUGAAAUUGAAGCUUCUGUUGUUGCUGCUUCAGCAUAUUUUUCUCAAAUUGAAAAGCACUCGUGUCAAUUUGAGGCUUGAUCACCCUAGCGGUGUGGCUGCUGCUGUUGAUCCCCUAAGAAACUACCAUCAUUAAACCCAAUGAGCUUGAUUUCAUCACUUUUCCGUUAAAGUUGUGUGAUUCGACCGUCAAGGAACCACCACCACCCUCUGUCUAGUAGGUUGUGCAGGAUGCGAAACUCGGGCAUCAAGAUUGUGGGUUUUGGUGGGCUGCAGAGAAGAAGAGAAAAGAGAUGACGUGGAAAAUGAUUUGGGUUGAGGAAGCGAAGCAAACAAAGAUGACGAUGGUUUUGGAAGCGAUGCCAAAAGUCUUGAACUUUCCAAAUUUUUUAGCAAUUGUUGCCCAUCACUCUCUUCUUGAAGUUCAUUAGAUUUAUGUGAAUUCAGGGUUGAGGAAGACGACAAGACGAGAGGCCUUGGGGGAUGGGAUUGGGGUGGGGGAAGUGGAACGGAGAUGGAUGAGGAAGAAGAAGAUGAUGAAGAUUUUGGGGUUGACAGUGAGAAAAGAAAUCCAGCGGAUCUGGGAUUUGAGAGCUGUGGUUUAUUUUCUUGUUCUUGAUCUCGUUCUUCGUCGGAAGAGGAGCAGCUCGCUAGCAAAAAGUCCAUGACCAGAAGCAAAAGGGGAGAAAAGCCCUAAUUUCAGAACAGGGAAAGAAAAAUAUGUGAAAAUGUUGUCCUUGGAAAGAGGAGAAAAGCUUGUAUUUAUCAGUUUUACCUUUGAAAAUAUGUCCAUGUGAGAGAGACGUGCUAUUUUUAGUUGGAGAAAUGAACAAAUACGAGCAUUAUAAAAAAAAUGGAUCAUAAUUUAUAUGUUAAGGACUAUUUUGGCUGAUUUUAAAUGUUAGGGAUUAAAAAAAAUUUUAUGUAAAUAUUAGGGACCAAUUUGACAAAUUUAUCUGGAGAGAAUUCACGGCUAUUUAUUCAUCACAGUAAUUUUUAUUAUUUUAAAUGGUGUUUGGAUUACAAUUUUUUAUUAAAUUUUUUUUAUAUUUUGUACGAGCAUAAAUUUUAAUUAUCUAUUUAAUUCACAUGUAUGAAAUCGUUAAUAUAGUAAAAUUUUCUAUAAAAUCUCAAAAAAAAAAAAGUAAUAUUAGCAUUAAACGCGUGGUGUUCGGUGCCACGGCCUAAGGCUAACUACCCAAGGUCAUCUUGUGGGCAUGGCUUUGCGGGUCAAAGAUUGCAAUCCACUUAAGAAAUGACGUGAGCUAUGACGACUACACUUUCAGCACAACACGAGGAACGGGCGACGUCGCAUGGAAAAUUGGAAAUUGGAAUUGAUUGCUUGAUGCAGUUUGUCUUUGUCCUCCUCCUCCUGUCUCUGUACUUUUUAUUUUAUUACUUUUCCGGAAGCAGAAGAGAUCCGGAGCGGAUAAGCAGUACUGGCGCCCUGCCCCGGCCACGCACGCUCUUACCAGACGACAGACGGGACAUGAUUCCACCUUCGUCUGAGUGCUGACAAACAACAUCCAACCUUUUUUUGCACAAAUCUUUUUGAUCUUUUCUGCUUCUGUGAUAGUAAAUUUGUUAACGAGCUCAGCAAAAACUCGAUGCGACGGUUCCUUCUCCGUCUGGUUUGGAAGCUUUUGCAUUUAUUGGAGUCCUCCCAAAGAGGAGGGAAUCCACUUCGUUCACGUCUGCAGGAAUUGAAGUUUUGCCAUCUACUUCCGAUGGCAAAGUACAUUAAUGAAUGCAAGCUAUUUUACCCCCCGCCCCACCAACAUUCGAUAAAUGUCCAUCUAGUCCUCCCGGCCAAAAGCUUUACAAUGCGGUCUCUGAAUUUUAUAGCUUCACCCGUUUUUUGUUUUCUCUCUGCCUCUUUCGUUUGAAGGAUGUAACUACAGGUUCUGGGUGCUAAGAGGCAUUUCUGAAGAUGUUCGUUUUCUUUAAGAAAAAUGAAAACUAUAAUUAAUCUUCCAUUUUAUCUUCCCUCUAUUUACCGAAAUAAGUUCUUCGUAAGUAGCGCUACUUUUUUUUUUUUUUUAUUAAACUAGAAAACCAUGCACGCAAAUUACGGCUUUCAUUCCGCUUCUUCCGGAAGCUGUUUUGCCUACCAAAAAAGAAAGGAAAAAAGAAAUAGAGGGAGAAUAUUCCACUUCUUCGUUACGUACUAGAAGACUAGUACUACCAGUAUUUACAGAUUGCUAUCUUUCAUGUCCACUUAUUCAACAAAAACUUUGACCAAUAGGUGCAAUAAAUUUGUCCUAUAAUUGUUAUAACUUCGGCACCAAGUUAAUUGCGUUUUUCUCACGGAUAUGACCAGGCAAUUCCAGUGGUCAAAUAAUCACUCAUUCAUUUGUGCGCGAUAUUUGAUCAUCGGAAUAAUUACUAUAACACUUUUUGUAACGUGACAUGUGUGAAAUAAAAAAAUAUAUUUACGAUACAAACAAACAAAAAUGUUUUUUUUAAUUAAAUUGCCUAUUCAAACAUAGGCAAGUACGGAUCAUAUCUACUCAUAUUUCCAAGCAAUUUGCUCCAUCACGUGCAAGGAAAUUUACAAGUGAUUCUAUUGUACUUUUUUGGGAUUUCACAUCUUCAACUUAAAUUCACAAUUAGACGGUGGAACGAGUUUUUUUAAACCCUUAAAUUGUGUUAGUUUUAAUUAUUUCAAAUUCGAAUCAUUAUUAUUAUUAAUAAAUAAAAAUUAUGGGAAUAGUUCCUAAAAGGACUAUAGAAUUUUCCUCUAUUUUAAAUUUAGAACUUUAGUAAUAUGCAUUUUCCGAGUUUUUCUGAACAGCUUAAAAUCGACUGUUAAUGUUAAGUUUUGAUGCAUGUCUUUUACAAUAUGAUUCUUGCUUGCACAAUUGAAAGUACUAUAGUAAUUUUUCACAAAAUAAUCAUACAAAAAAAUUAUUUAGCUAAAUAGCUGGAUUAAUUUUUUUCUUUUUGGUUUUCUAAACUAAGCUAUUGGAUUGCAUAGGACUAUAAUCGAAGUGAUAAGGUUGUACUGGGCAUCGAUUUGAACAUCAGCGAUGUUCAAGCAUUUUGGAUGGUAUUCAUGCUACCAUUUCUAAUGUUUGUUUUUAUUUUUUAAGAAUUCGCUCUUUUUUUUUUCUUUUCUUUCUUAGUACGUGUCCUAUCAUUUUUUUGGCUAGUUUUAAUAUUAAAAAAAUUGUUCAAAACCUUUCACAUAUUUCACUAAAUGAAUUUUUUUGGCCUUACUUUUAAAAUAUUAACUUUACAUUCUUUAUAAAUUCAAGUUAACAGUUUUUUUGUCACAAACUAAAUUUUAACCCAUUUCUUAAUUUGAAAAUCACUACAUGACCCAUAUGUAAUAAUAUUUUAUGUACAAAAAUGGUCAGAUUUCACUUUUUUAGUGGAAAAUGAAUUUUUGUCACUCAAAAAAGUGAAAGCUGAACUUUUUGUGUAUAAAAAGUGAUUAUGUGCAGGUCAUAUGGUGAUUUUAGGUUAAAAAGUGAUUGAAAAUAUAAGUUAGGACCAAAUUCUGCAAACUUAGAUUUAUAAGGGACGUAACAUUAAUAUUUUCAAAAUAAAUGACAAAAAAAUUCACUUGACAAAAUAUGAACUAUUUUUCCAACGCUCGUUAUGAUACACUUAACGGACUUAUCACACAAUUCAAGCGGCCAAAUAAGCAUCUAAUUGUACAUAUUUGUUUACACCCAGUAUUCGUUUAGUUCAUACAUAAAGGCUCUACUAAUAACACAUUUUUUCUCCUUGUUUAUUGUGAGGGAAAUGUUGUCAUCAUUCUUCUAUACAAGUUAUAUAACGACAAAGGCUCUUGACUUUUUUGACGAUGUAAAUUAGAUAAAAGUACCUUUAUUCUUCAUUACAUUCGUAGUCACUCUCCUUUUAUCAACUUAUAAAUUAAAGUAAAAUAUAAGAGGAUAGCCAAUAACAAUUUCUUACUCUAUCCAUCACACUUUGAUGGUGUUGAUAUUUUUUUUUCACACAGUUAAACAAAAAUUAGUUGAUUUUAUUGAAAUUGCAAAUCUGGCUUAUUAUUUUUCUAAAAUAUCCUUACAUUAAUAUUAAUUAUUUCAAAUAUUAAAAUUUAUAAUCUGACUAAUCAUUACGCCUUUACAUUAAUUAUAACAAUAGCACUAAGGGAAAGUUGUACCAUUCAAGGUGUGAAUCAAAAUCAAUUAUUGAAUAAGAUAGAUUAUAUUUACUAAUAAUAAAUUACUUAAAUAAAGACAUUUUAGAAAAGUUUAAAAUUAACUAUAUUUUUUAAUUGAAAAGUAACCUAUAAUUUAGCAUGGAUAAAAAAAAGAAAAUAUUAUUAUCAAAAUGGGGGUGAUGGAGUAAUCUAAUUUUGCAUAUUCUCUUUUACUUUCGAGAAAAAUAAAAUAACUAUUGAGCAUGCCCUCUUAAAAUCAAUGAUAACCAUUGAUCCGCUAGCAUCUAUGGGUGUGUUUGGAUUGCAUGUUUUUAGAUUUUUCUUAUAGAAAAAUUAUUGUAAUAAUUUGAUAUAUAUGAGACAAAAAAUGAUUAAAAAUAGAUUCACGGAGAACGUAGCAAAAAAAUUUUUUUUUUUUGGAAAUAUGCAAUCCAAGCAAAAUAUGAAAUAAUGAUUGGUCAACUUUGAGUUCUUUCCUAUUUAAGGACAUCUAGAGAUUGGCAAUAGAAAUAGUCCCUACGAAGUUUAUCGGACUUGGGAUACCAAGAACCAUGGAGAUCGAGAUGGUUGUAGCUAAUAAAUGCAAGCGCUACAAGAAGAUCAUCGAAAUGAUUAAAAGCCUAUUAUUGGAAAUAACGAAGAAGUCAAAUUUUGGAAUAUUGGUUGAUCACAAUUUCUAUUAAAUAACCUCACCUCUUUAGACUAGGGUUUAAACCUCACAUGCAGCGAAAAAAAUUUAAGAAUUGUGCUAUAAUACUUCCUGGAUCUAAUUGAGUCUGUAUACCCACUAAUCCCUGCCAUAAAAUGAGUAGGUUAUACAAAUAUAUCAUUAUUGACAUAAAAAAAAAAAGAGAUUCUAUUAAAUAACCAAUUAAGAAAAACCUUUGCCUAAUACCAAAAUGACGAUGACACACUGCUUCCACAGCAUUUUGAUAUCUAGAGCAUGUAGCACUUGUAGUAGCGAUGGUGACAAUAAUGGUAUUGUCGUUGAUUCAUAUUCCACAAAACCGUAAUUGACACGAUUAACGUAGUAGAAUAAUUUGCCACCAAUUUUUACCUACUGGGUUUUUUUUUUUUUGUCGUCUAGCUGACUUCUCCAUGUCCGUGGCGGCUGUUUUGGUAUUUAAAGCCUAAGCCGGGCAAUAUUCAGCCUCUUCGCUCUCUUGGACAGCGAUUCCAGAAGCCCGGGAACCACCGGUGUCAUUCAAAUCGCUGUCUGGAACAAAAAAGAGUCCGGAGGUCUGUCCUGAAGGGGCCUAAAUCCCCGUAUACUUUUACACCAGAGGGAGAGAAGGAGAGGAAACUCAGUGAGAGGCUUCUCCAGCAUCCUAGGAUCAAUAUAGGUAUCUUUAUUUUAUUCUUAUCACGUACCAUCUCCUCGCUGUAGGUGCUUGCAUGAUGAUUUGGUCUUGAACUUGGUUUGUACGUUAAUUUGGUCACUUUGAGCCUGCGGUACAAGACAAAGUUGGUCUCUUUUUCCUAUUCCAGAGUUCCACCCUCAAACAUCCUAAAGUUUUACUUUUAUUUUUAUUUUUUUAAAAUUUGAUUUUUGCUACUGAGUAGUGAGUAGGAGUGCUUUUUACCUGCUAUUUCAUUUUUCAGCCGGCGACGUUUCCUGUGUAAGUCUGGAGCACCUGGAAACUAAUCCUUGCGCUCUUUGUUGUUCCUUCUCAUCUCGUCUGCUAAAAAUUUUUGUCUUUUAUUUUGUUUUUGUGAAGUCACUAUUCAAGAUGGUACUAACAAAGUCAUAUAAUGAUGAUAUUGUUUAGGUUAGAUGUUUUGAGGCCUAAAGGCUGCUGUUAAAAUCUCAAUUCUGAUCAUGUUUUGGUUUGAGAAAUGUUUAGCUGGAUCAUUCCUUUCUAACUUCUUCUUUUUGAGUUUUUUCCGUUUCUUUUUCUUCUGGGUCUGCCCAAAAUGCUUUCAAAGUACUGCGCAUCAUCCCAGAUUCUAAAAUGGAAUUAGUAAUUGUAGUACCGAAACUGCAGCCUCCUUUACUUUGAAAAGAGGAAGAGAGGGGGGGGGGGCGGCCAAUUCUGAUUUCAUUUCUGCCUUUUGUAAUAAUUUAUAAUAAUAACCUUUUGGAUUCUUAUUCUUUUAGCUGAGUUCUCCAAGUAUUGUUUUAACAUGCUCAUCUUGUUUCCUUCUCCAGGAGAAUGAAAGGAUGAAUUCUUUGUGAGAUAAAAUCAUUGUAUGGCUAUGCUGUAUGUCGGUUUGGCAGAGGUCACAGCAAAGAUGUCUUCACCUAUUUGGAUCACAUCGCUUUCUUGUUCCGCUUCUGUGGCACAAUCCUCAGAGGAUUCCACAGUUUCAGCCUUUGUUCAAUGGCUAAGGUUCCUUUUCCUGUCUCCCUGUCCUCAGAGAGCUCUGUCAUCUUCCAUUGCCAUUCUGCUGUGGAUAGCUUUCCUUGUUUUUGCAAUACAAAAACUAUGGUCUAGAUUUAGUACCAAACAUGAAUUGAGUUCUAACCUCAGCAAGCCUCUCAUUGAGAGCAGCACACCACCUCUUAGAGCUAACCUUUGGUAUAAGUUGACUCUGAUUGCGACCGUUGUUUUAGCCUUAUCUUCCUUAAUGUUGUGCAUUCUGGCAUUCAAUGGAGGUAACCAGGGCUCAUGGAGGGUUGUCGACGGACUAUUUUGGUUGCUUCAGGCAUUAACCAAUGUAGUGAUCACAGUACUAAUUCUCCAUGAGAAGAGGUUCAAAGCUGUUACUCAUCCAUUAUCUCUUCGGGUUUACUGGAUUGCAAUCUUCAUUAUCCAAGUUUUGUUCGUCACUUCGGCGCUUAUCCGCAUAAUAUCUGCCCGUGAAACUGAUUCAGUCUUGAGACUAGAUGACAUUGUUUCAAUAACUGUAUUUCCUUUCUUGAUUAUUCUUCUGAUUGUUGCCCUCAAGGGGUCUACCGGUAUCCUAGUAAUUAGAUGUUCUGAAUCAAUAAUAAAUGGAGAGACCACAUUAUAUGAACCACUUCAGGAUAAAUCCUCCAAUGUGAGUGGGUUUGCUACAGCAUCUAUUGUAUCAAAAGUUUUUUGGCUCUGGGUUAAUUCUCUUUUGGUAAGAGGCUAUAAAUCCCCUCUAAAGCUUGAUGAUGUCCCAAUUCUCUCACCACAGCAUAGAGCUGAGCGCAUGUCAGAGCUGUUUCAACAGAAGUGGCCUAAACCUGAAGAAAAAUCAAAGCACCCUGUGAGAACUACAUUGUUUCGCUGCUUCUGGAAGGAAGUUACCUUCAUUGCCUUCCUUGCCAUUGUGAGGCUUUGCGUCAUGUAUGUGGGGCCUACACUGAUCGAUCGGUUUGUUGAUUAUACAUCUGGGAAGAGGACCUCAAUUUAUGAAGGAUACUACCUUGUAGUUGUUCUCUUGAUAUCCAAGUUUGUGGAAGUUCUGAGCUCACACCAGUUCAAUUUUAACUCCCAGAAACUUGGGAUGAUGAUACGCUCCACACUCAUUACUUCAUUGUACAAAAAGG